CGAAGGACCCAAGCGUUAUCCGGAUUUAUUGGGUUUAAAGGGUGCGUAGGCGGGUUAUUAAGUCAGUGGUGAAAGCCUGCAGUCUUAACUGCAGAACUGCCAUUGAUACUGAUGAUCUUGAGUAUGAUUGAGGUGGGCGGAAUGUGUCAUGUAGCGGUGAAAUGCUUAGAUAUGACACAGAACACCGAUUGCGAAGGCAGCUCACUAAGCCAUAACUGACGCUGAUGCACGAAAGCGUGGGGAGCAAACAGGAUUAGAUACCCUGGUAGUCCACGCCCUAAACGAUGAUCACUCGAUGUGUGCGAUACACUGUACGCGUCUGAGCGAAAGCAUUAAGUGAUCCACCUGGGGAGUACGACCGCAAGGUUG
rnacentral:rRNA from 1 species